UUGGCUUCCCCAAAGCAAUGAUGACAGGUGAUUCAUUGGAAACCGAAUAGCCACACUUCAGGAAUUGAAAGCACGUGUAUGCAUUAAAGACCUUGGGGCUUCAAAAAACCACUAAUCCUAAAUUCCUCAACCACUUGAAGAGACCACACGCGGAUCUCUUUCAAGCUUCCUUCUCCCAAACCUCAAGCCCACGGGAAUUCUCUCUUUUCCUGUUCUUAACACCUAUAUACCCAGAAGAAAAACAAUCCAAAACUCAACAUAAAAAAAAAUGAACCAAAUCUGAGAACAACUUCUCAACCAUCCAAAAUCGCACACCCAAAUCUAAAUCAUGCUUUGUUCAAGACCUUAACCGAUUGUGAGCAGAAAGAAUAACCAAUAUGAACAUCAAAUCAAAGCGAGUAAAGGAGAAAUCACAGAUAUAAACUAUCAUGGUUAUCAAGCUAAUAUGAAGCGCAUGAAUAAAGAGUGAAGAGGAAAAGAGAAAACUGAACCUUAACGGAAAAUGCGUGUUUCUGGUGAGCGUGAAGAACGGGAAUGUAUCUUGGUAAACGCUUUCUCUCCUCUUUUCCUUGUGAAUCCUCCAUCGUCACUGUUAUCGCUAUGAGUAACGGUAUCUAUUUUCAGCCCUUGUAUGAUGAUUAGAGGUGUCCUUAUAUAGAGUUUUGGAGUACAAGGUUUCUCAUCCUUAUGAGCUGGCGAAAAUCCCAAUCAAUCCAUUAGAAUAAAAUCUCCUUUAGAUUUUGGUGUGGUCCCAAACAGUGAAGGUGGCAAGGCGAGUUUAUUUUGUUGGUAAGAUCCCAAAAAAUGCGUGACCGUUUUCAAUAUCUCUUUACAUCAGUAAGACUUGUACUCCUCAUGGUUCUUGGCGUAACUUGCAGGAAUGAAAACGGGAAGCAGGCUAGGAAAUUAUCAUGGUUGAGUAGAGUGUAUCUGCAAGUUCUGAGGCUUUCCCUCUAAAUGCAAUAAACCAACGUAUUUUUAACUGGUUUUCAUUUUAGACUAGGUCUCAAAUAUGGUUAUGGCAACAUUUUGUAAAAGUCAUUUGGCUUGGGAUACUAUAGUAUUUAAAUGAAACUAUAGUUGAUUUAAGUUACAUUUGUAAUAUGAUGUUGUGUUUGGUUUUGGUUUUGGGGUAUUGUAUUUUGUGGAACGACUUGGUAGAUUACAAGCUUAUGGCUUUACAGUCUUGCAGAUGCAGAUUGCCUUGCUUUCUGCAGCAUGGAUCCAAUGGACUGCAUAAUGUGGGUAUUGCGUUUGUGAAUCAUGGUGCAGACGUGCACCAAUGCAGGGCUUGUGCUGGGAGAUUGUGAAUUGUUUUAUGUCAUAGUUUGGACUUCAGGUAUUAGUCGCAUGAUUCUGAUGCAAACUAGAUAGUUCUGCAAUAGGUUCCUCAUGCGUUGUUGCUGGAUGUUAGAGGUUGAAGGUUUAUUCAUGAUGCUGCAGACCUCACCUUUGAUGUUCAUUUGCCAUGUUCGGCCUAUUCCUCCCCCUGCCAUGUCUUGUUUGUAAGGUGUAAUGACUUAGCUUAUGUUGUCAAACCAUUUGGCCAUGUUAACCAUGUAUCACAAUUUGAAAUGUAUAUGGGUCGGUUAAAAUUGAAGCAAAUGGCUGUAUGAUGCACUGUUGGUUUGCGAAUGUAAUUUGUAAUUUUGUAUGUAAACAUAUUUUGAAAAUGAAUUGUACCUAUAGUUUCAAUCAUGAAUCACAAUGAGCCAAGGGUGGAUUAUGGAGGAAUAACAAGAGGAAUUAGGUUUCUUGGAUUGUAACAUGAUUAAGUUGACUUUGGUCAAAGUUGACUAAAAAGUCAACCAUUGACCAAAGUCAACCUUUGGUUUAUACUCAUUUUUUGUAUCUUUCUCAUGUACGGACAUUUGUAAAUAAUUGGCAUUGGUAUCUUGACUGAAGUAAGCUACGCAUGGAAUUUUCUAUGGUUGAAUGGCCUUGAUUUUGAAUGAAUUGAUGGAUUUAUCCUUU